rnacentral:rRNA from 1 species
UACGUAGGGCUCAAGCGUUGUCCGGAAUUAUUGGGCGUAAAGAGCUCGUAGGCGGUCUGUUACGUCCGCUGUGAAAACCCAGGGCUUAACCCUGGGCUUGCAGUGGAUACGGGUAGACUAGAGGCAGGUAGGGGAGAAUGGAAUUCCCGGUGUAGCGGUGAAAUGCGCAGAUAUCGGGAGGAACACCGGUGGCGAAGGCGGUUCUCUGGGCCUGACCUGACGCUGAGGAGCGAAAGCGUGGGGAGCGAACAGG